rnacentral:rRNA from 1 species
AGAUUGACGCUGGCGGCAUGCUUACACAUGCAAGUCGGACGGCAGCGCGGGGGCAACCUGGCGGCGAGUGGCGAACGGGUGAGUAAUACAUCGGAACGUGUCCUGGAGUGGGGGAUAGCCCGGCGAAAGCCGGAUUAAUACCGCAUACGCUCUGUGGAGGAAAGCGGGGGAUCUUCGGACCUCGCGCUCAAGGGGCGGCCGAUGGCAGAUUAGCUAGUUGGUGGGGUAAAGGCCUACCAAGGCGACGAUCUGUAGCUGGUCUGAGAGGACGACCAGCCACACUGGGACUGAGACACGGCCCAGACUCCUACGGGAGGCAGCAGUGGGGAAUUUUGGACAAUGGGGGCAACCCUGAUCCAGCAAUGCCGCGUGUGUGAAGAAGGCCUUCGGGUUGUAAAGCACUUUUGUCCGGAAAGAAAACCGCUUCUCUAAUACAGAGGCGGGAUGACGGUACCGGAAGAAUAAGCACCGGCUAACUACGUGCCAGCAGCCGCGGUAAUACGUAGGGUGCAAGCGUUAAUCGGAAUUACUGGGCGUAAAGCGUGCGCAGGCGGUUCGCUAAGACCGAUGUGAAAUCCCCGGGCUUAACCUGGGAACUGCAUUGGUGACUGGCGGGCUAGAGUAUGGCAGAGGGGGGUAGAAUUCCACGUGUAGCAGUGAAAUGCGUAGAGAUGUGGAGGAAUACCGAUGGCGAAGGCAGCCCCCUGGGCCAAUACUGACGCUCAUGCACGAAAGCGUGGGGAGCAAACAGGAUUAGAUACCCUGGUAGUCCACGCCCUAAACGAUGUCAACUAGUUGUCGGGUCUUCAUUGACUUGGUAACGAAGCUAACGCGUGAAGUUGACCGCCUGGGGAGUACGGUCGCAAGAUUAAAACUCAAAGGAAUUGACGGGGACCCGCACAAGCGGUGGAUGAUGUGGAUUAAUUCGAUGCAACGCGAAAAACCUUACCUACCCUUGACAUGUACGGAACCUUGCUGAGAGGUGAGGGUGCCCGAAAGGGAGCCGUAACACAGGUGCUG